UUGGUGCCUUCGGGAACUCUGAGACAGGUGCUGCAUGGCUGUCGUCAGCUCGUGUUGUGAAAUGUUGGGUUAAGUCCCGCAACGAGCGCAACCCUUAUCCUUUGUUGCCAGCGGUUAGGCCGGGAACUCAAAGGAGACUGCCAGUGAUAAACUGGAGGAAGGUGGGGAUGACGUCAAGUCAUCAUGGCCCUUACGAGUAGGGCUACACACGUGCUACAAUGGCGCAUACAAAGAGAAGCGACCUCGCGAGAGCAAGCGGACCUCAU
rnacentral:rRNA from 1 species